AGUGACAAGCGAAGAUGGUGCUAGGGUUUCAUCCCUGUUCCCAAUCCCAUUCUCUUCUCCAAACCCUAGAAAUCCUCUUGAAUUCCUUCUCCCUUCGCCCUGGAAGUACCAGCACCACUCGCUCCCGUGGUCCUCAUGCCUCACAUUCCCCUCUCCGCAGCCUCAAACCCCCCUCGAAGUCGUCGCCGUCGCUGUCGCCGUCGCCGCAGGAUCUCAAUUUUAGGAGGCUCACAUCUCGGGUCAUCGAGCUCACUCGAAGGAGACAGCUGCGGCAGAUUUUGAGGGAAAUAGAGAAAGUGAAGAAGAGGUGUGGGAAGUUGAGUACUGCUGUGAUGAACGCUGUCAUGGAAACAUGUGUUCAUGGCUGAGACAUUGAGUCUUCUAUUCGAGUCUUUGAGGAAAUGUUUAAGCCUGCGAGUUGUGGUGUAACGCGGUGUAAAUGGCCAAGUGUAAAUUGCAAAGACUGAAUUGUACCUAAAAAUAUUGCCUUGGACUAAAUCGACCCAACUUGACCAAAUAUGAGGACUUAAUUGUACCUAAAAAUAUUAGAAUGACUAAAAAGAUAUAAAAGUACAUAAUUAGAGUGACCUGUAAAGUAAUUAAACCUUCUUUUUUUUAUUUGAAUAAUUGGAGGAGACAACAAGCAUAUGUCCUUUGUGUUUUGCAUUUAAGGUUAUGGUAUGGAGGUUUGAAUGUUAAAUUGUUUGGAGGAAAAAAAAAGGGGAAUGAGUGACAACAUCUUUGUUUAAGUAAAUUAUACAUGGGUUCUUCUCAAACAGUGAUAUAUAUAUAUAAAUUUAAUAUGGACAAGUAAAUUUAAUAUAUCAUUUUCAAAGAAGAGUGCAAUGACAUGAAAAAUGGAAAUUUGGUUGUUUAUAUUAUUAUUGGGGAAACUGUAAGACUGUUCACUUUGAUUCUUGAUCAUUAGCUUUGGGCAUCCUGUCAUCAUAAUGUUUGCAGGGAAAGAUAAUCCUGAUUUGUUGAUCGCAUUAUCUGCAACUUCUUUGCCCAUCAAGAGCAAUGCUGCUUUCUGAUGAAACAUCCUUCUAUUGAUAUUGAAAGGGUUGAGGCGAGGCUUGAAGAAUUGAUGAAGCAUUCCAUAUUCUCGAGUCUCUGGAAAAUGGGGAUAUGUGCCAUGCCAAUGGCCUUGUAGCACAUUACCAAGUUGUGCUAAAAAAAGAAGACCAAGUCUUGCUAUACAACCUACUGAUAAAGAUGUAUAAUUUUCUCAGUGGUUCUUGAAGACUGAUUCCCCUCAAGGUGCAUUAACUAUAAGAGAUGAGAUCUUACGCCAAGCGUUGAAGCCUGAUAAAGUGACUUAUAAUACAUUGGUUUUUGCAUGUGUGAAAUCUGGAGAUCUAGAUGCUGCAUUUCAGUUGAUCACAGAAAUGAAGGUCUUGAAAAAGAGGAAGCUCAAAAAGCUAACAGCAAUGAAUUCUUUCUGAUGUUGUUACUUACACUACUUUACUAAAGGCUGUUAUUAAAGCGGAGAUUUUAUCUGGAUUCACCAGUCAUCGUUUACUCCAUACAUCCUUCCUCAGGUUACAUUAGACGAUCCAAUUGAAAAGUACUUGACUUCUUUUGAGGAAUCUAAUCCAUUGCCUUCUAGCCUGGCAUUGAAAAAGGUGGUCAUGCGUUGCUUCAGAGAUUCUGUAGUUCCUGUUAUAGAUGACUGAGGCAGCUGUGUUGGAAUUCUCCACUGUGAUGAAUGUAAAAUGGCAAGUCAAUAUCACCAUAUAAUAGUAAUGCUGGAUGUUAUGAAUGGGAUGCGCCUCUUUCAACCAUGAUGAGAGGAGUGCCACCUUGUCUAACCAUAUCAACAUCCAUUGGCCGUGUGAUCGAUCUACUCUUAGAGAAAAAGUACAAAAUGUUCAUCAUUGUCAAAAACAGCAACAUCAUCUACAAAACCACCUACAGUUCAAGCUUGAGCCCAGUCGGAACUUUCACCCAUGACAAGCUGUUCCAGCUCACAAUUCCUGCUUUCCAAACAUUAUGAUGAUGAUGAUGAUGAUGAUGAUGAUGAUGAUGGACAUGCUUCAUCUCCAUUUAAAGCUGCAGGCCAUGGAGACAUCAGAUAAGGAGUCACCUGAUCACAAUUCAAUGUAAGAUCACAAAUCAGCUCCAACUUCUUCUCACUUACACCAAACCUGUACACCGCUUUGCGUGUCUGCACGAACACUGCCUGCAUUUCACGACAAACAUACAAAAUCUUUACUGGUCGGAAGUUUCUCCGGACCAUGCAACUUCACCCUCUCCUUAGCAACCCAUCUUUUCCGGUCACUAAGCUCCCAUAUCACCACCUCUUCUGUCAAUCUCUCCAUUGCGCAAUACACAAGAGUUCCAUUGGCACUGCAAUGUAUAGACUUUGCCUGUAAUCCUGCGCCCACCACCGGUUCACUGAUCAACUCCGCUGCUUCACUCUCACUGUUAUAGCUGAGCACCGCUCCGUCCAGUGUCAUCCAAUACAAAUUGCCUCCGAUCGAGAUACCAGCCUUCUGUUCCGGUUCGAAACACACAUAUCUUGGGAACUUACUCACCAAUUUAUUACAAUUCCACUCAUUCUUCUUGCUACAAUAUACCCUGAAUUCAAUCUGCUUUGUCCUACAUCCCCAUUUGACACGAAAACCUGGGCAGCGCUUCUGCAACUCAUCAAUGGGCACUAUUUUAUUGUGGUAUAUAAGCCCAUAAAUAUGUAAUGCCAUUUGUAUGUCGCCUGUUUCAAGCUUGUAAGCAAAUACUGCUUUGAUAUGAUUGUCUUUUUCAUGUAUCAGGCCAAAUGCAUGGCACUCAUCUUGUUUUUCUCUCAUUUUUGGUAUCACUAAUCUUCUUCUGGUGACCGGGUUGUAGACAAUUUUCUUUCCAUCUGUACACAAAAUCAAGAAUCCAUUGGAAUAAGGCAUGGUAGAUAUGCUUUGCAGAUUGAUAUGGACAUGGUUCAAUGAUGGUGACUUGAGACGGUGAUUAACAGGAUUAAAGGUCAAGUCAUAGUUGUCAUCUGCAUGGAAAAAACCUGCGAGAACUGGAGGACCA